rnacentral:RNase_P_RNA from 1 species
UCAGUGGAAGUGAUCGAGCCUAUCUUUGAUAGGUUAGGAAAGUCCAUGCUAGCACAUCCUGUGAUGGAUGUAGUGUUUGUGCCUAGGGAACAAAUAACCUAGGGUACGAUUUUUCGUAACGGCGAUUGAUGAUCUAAGGGUAACUAUGAUCUAGACGUAAUGUGCCACAGAGACGAGCUUUGUCGAAAGAUAAAGAUGAAACGCGGUAAACCCCUCAAGCUAGCAACCCAAAAUAUGGUAGGGGCAUGUACAAGGACGAAUCGAAGUCUAAGUAUGCUACAACUGUAGAGAUAAAUGGUCACACCCUUUAUAGGGAUACAGAACAUGGCUUAUGCAC